AACGAACGCUGGCGGCAGGCUUAACACAUGCAAGUCGAGCGCCCCGCAAGGGGAGCGGCAGACGGGGGAGUAACGCGUGGGAAUCUACCCAUCUCUACGGAAUAACGCAUGGAAACGUGUGCUAAUACCGUAUACGUCCUUCGGGAGAAAGAUUUAUCGGAGCUGGAUGAGCCCGCGUUGGAUUAGCUAGUUGGUGGGGUAAAGGCCUACCAAGGCGACGAUCCAUAGCUGGUCUGAGAGGAUGAUCAGCCACACUGGGACUGAGACACGGCCCAGACUCCUACGGGAAGCAGCAGUGGGGAAUAUUGGACAAUGGGCGCAAGCCUGAUCCAGCCAUGCCGCGUGAGUGAUGAAGGCCCUAGGGUUGUAAAGCUCUUUCACCGGUGAAGAUAAUGACGGUAACCGGAGAAGAAGCCCCGGCUAACUUCGUGCCAGCCGCCGCUGUAAGAC
rnacentral:rRNA from 1 species